GACGAACGCUGGCGGCGUGCUUAACACAUGCAAGUCGAGCGGUAAGGCCUUUCGGGGUCCACGAGCGGCGAACGGGUGAGUAACACGUGGGUGAUCUGCCCUGCACUUCGGGAUAAGCCUGGGAAACUGGGUCUAAUACCGGAUAUGACCUCCUAUCGCAUGGUGGGUGGUGGAAAGAUUUAUCGGUGCAGGAUGGGCCCGCGGGCUAUCAGCUUGUUGGUGGGGUAAUGGCCUACCAAGGCGACGACGGGUAGCCGACCUGAGAGGGUGACCGGCCACACUGGGACUGAGACACGGCCCAGACGCCUACGGGAGGCAGCAGUGGGGAAUAUUGCACAAUGGGCGAAAGCCUGAUGCAGCGACGCCGCGUGAGGGAUGACGGCCUUCGGGUUGUAAACCUCUUUCAGCAGGGACGAAGCGCAAGUGACGGUACCUGCAGAAGAAGCACCGGCUAACUACGUG
rnacentral:rRNA from 1 species